UACGGUCUUUAUGAUAAAAGGGAAUGCGGUGAAAAUCCGCAGCAGCUCACUUCUACUGUAAGAAGGACGAAAUACUCGUGGAAUUUCUGUUUCCAAUCACUGGGCAACCGGGAAGAUGUAGUAAAGUAGGAAGAAUUCAAAGCCAGGAGACCUGCCGUAAAUA
rnacentral:ncRNA from 1 species